UACGGAGGGUGCAAGCGUUAUCCGGAUUCACUGGGUUUAAAGGGUGCGUAGGUGGGCAGGUAAGUCAGUGGUGAAAUCUCUGGGCUUAACCCGGAACUGCCGUUGAUACUAUCUGUCUUGAAUGUAGUGGAGGUGAGCGGAAUAUGUCAUGUAGCGGUGAAAUGCUUAGAUAUGACAUAGAACACCCAUUGCGAAGGCAGCUCGCUACACUAUUAUUGACACUGAGGCACGGAAAGCGUGGGGAUCAAACAGG
rnacentral:rRNA from 1 species